UUUGUGAGUUUUUGAUUUGAUUAGAAAGAUCUUCUUUAUCAAAGGCAGGCAUUUUAUAGCUAGAUAGUUGUGCAUUUAUUCUUCUGCAGUAACACCCUCUGGUGUUCCUGAUACAGGCAAAUUAUGUUUGCCUUCACAGUUAAGAAAACAUGUUUUUAACCCGAGCUACUUAACGCCUGUUGUCUUUCCUGCUCUGAAGUCCUAUUUGAGGAUCUGAACUGGAARGCAAUUAGACAAGAUCAAUCUCCUGCAAAGUGCUGACCUUGCCCAGUUACCUGAUAGUAAAAAAUAAAAUGUUUUUUCUCUCCAGUUGUUUAGCAGGAUAAGGGYUGUGCUAUCGUUUUACAGACAACCCCACCCCCCACAGAAGAACAAGGAUGCCUCCUUGACAGUGAUGACUCAGCCUAAAAAUGUUACUGAAGAGGAAACCAUUCAUCCUUUUGUAUUUUAGCUACCAUACUGGAUGGAGCUCAAGCAUGGGUAACGAGGAAGCCAACAGUCUUGCUACAGGGAGGAUCAAGGCACCUGCAGCAACAAAAAGGGACUGGGGAAGAAAAGUUUCUGCAUAAGAAAUGUUUUCUGCAUAAGGCAAUGGGAGGGAUGAAGAUAGAGAAGAAUGAAUUCUGUCCAUACUCCAAGCUGAUGGGACACUGGGAGACCAUGUUAAAUGUAGCAUUGAGCUUCACCUAACAAGCCCCGCUGGAAGGCUACAUAAAAGGUGAGUGUGGCAGGCCUGCAUCCGCUCACAGAAAACAUCCUCUAUACACGGCCGAAGGUGAGAUUCUUGUGAGCAGAAGGCCAGCUGGUGAAGCUCAACCACCCAGCUGCUUGCUCUGAGAACGCAACCAGGUGAUUCAACUUCUCU
rnacentral:lncRNA from 1 species